GUCAGCAGCUUUUCAGAAAAGUGAUUCCUUUCUCUUCCUGUGUCUGGCCUCCAUCACUCCUGAUUCUCUGCACCACUGACCACAAGAUUGUGCAAAUUGAAUUCCAAAAAUAAAAGUACGUAAUGGAAACCUGGGUAGUUUGAAAAACAACAAACGCAUUUUUUGAGAAAAAGUCUUUAUGCCAGGAUGAGCAGGUUUUUCUGCUGUAUCAAAACUUGUGCCGUUCAGGAAACUGCAAUGGAAAAACGUUUUCACAUCUUAUGAGUCAAGUGAUCAACAACUGGAUGUUACUGCUGGUGGAAAAGACGAAGAAGACGACAGGAAGUCAUAAGGGGAUGAUGGUGUGCUUCUCCCUGACAGCAGAGCAUCCUAUGAAAGCUCAAGCGUGCACACGAGCCUGAUUGACAGCUUAAAAGCCCUCCUCCUGGUUCUGAUUGGUUGUUUUUGAACGGGAGCUGUGCAUUUCUUCAGACAGCAACGGCAGCAAAGGGAGGAGGCUUUCAUGCAGAAAACAGCCGGCCGGGACAGCGACCAGCAUCCCACCGUGCACUCCUGCUCAAAGUACUGCGACGCAACCAGAGGGCCGUCCUGCAU